rnacentral:rRNA from 1 species
AUUGAACGCUGGCGGCAUGCUUUACACAUGCAAGUCGAACGGUAACAGGCCGCAAGGUGCUGACGAGUGGCGAACGGGUGAGUAAUGCAUCGGAACGUGCCCAGUCGUGGGGGAUAACGCAGCGAAAGCUGCGCUAAUACCGCAUACGAUCUAUGGAUGAAAGCGGGGGACCGUAAGGCCUCGCGCGAUUGGAGCGGCCGAUGUCAGAUUAGGUAGUUGGAGGGGUAAAGGCUCACCAAGCCAACGAUCUGUAGCUGGUCUGAGAGGACGACCAGCCAGACUGGAGCUGAGACACGGCCCAGACUCCUACGGGAGGCAGCAGUGGGGAAUUUUGGACAAUGGGCGCAAGCCUGAUCCAGCAAUGCCGCGUGCAGGAAGAAGGCCUUCGGGUUGUAAACUGCUUUUGUACGGAACGAAACGGCCCUGGUUAAUACCUGGGGCUAAUGACGGUACCGUAAGAAUAAGCACCGGCUAACUACGUGCCAGCCGCCGCAGUAAUAC